CNGGAUUUAUUGGGCGUAAAGCGAGCGCAGGCGGUUUGAUAANUCUGAAGUUAAAGGCUGUGGCUCAACCAUAGUUNGCUUUGGAAACUGUCAAACUNGAGUGCAGAAGGGGAGAGUGGAAUUCCAUGUGUAGCGGUGAAAUGCGUAGAUAUAUGGAGGAACACCGGUGGCGAAAGCGGCUCUNUGGUCUGUAACUGGCGCUGAGGCUCGAAANGCGUGGGGAGCGAACAGGAUUAGAUACCCUGGUAGUNCACGCCGUAAACGAUGAGUGCUAGGUGUUGGAUCCUUUCCGGGAUUCAGUGCCGCAGCUAACGCAUUAAGCACUCCGCCUGGGGAGUACGACCGCAAGGUUGAAACUCAAAGGAAUUGACGGGGGCCCGCACAAGCGGUGGAGCAUGUGGUUUAAUUCGAAGCAACGCGAAGAACCUUACCAGGUCUUGACAUCCCGAUGCUAUUUCUAGAGAUAGAAAGUUACUUCGGUACAUCGGUGACAGGUGGUGCAUGGUUGUCGUCAGCUCGUGUCGUGAGAUGUUGGGUUAAGNNNNNNNNNCGAGCGCAACCCCUAUUGUUAGUUGCCAUCAUUCAGUUGGGCACUCUAGCGAGACUGCCGGUAAUAAACCGGAGGAAGGUGGGGAUGACGUCAAAUCAUCAUGCCCCUUAUGACCUGGGCUACACACGUGCUACAAUGGUUGGUACAACGAGUUGCGAGUCGGUGACGGCAAGCUAAUCUCUUAAAGCCAAUCUCAGUCCGGAUUGUAGGC
rnacentral:rRNA from 1 species